UACGGGGGGGGGGGCAAGCGUUGUUCGGAAUUACUGGGCGUAAAGGGCGUGUAGGCGGCCAACUAAGUCCGACGUGAAAUCCCCAGGCUUAACCUGGGAACUGCGUCGGAUACUGGAUGGCUUGAAUCCGGGAGAGGGAUGCAGAAUUCCAGGUGUAGCGGUGAAAUGCGUAGAUAUCUGGAGGAACACCGGUGGCGAAGGCGGCAUUCUGGACUGCAACUGACACUGAACGACGAAAGCCAGGGGAGCAAACGGG
rnacentral:rRNA from 1 species